rnacentral:rRNA from 1 species
GGCGGGGUAACGGCCCACCAAGGCGACGAUCAGUAGGGGUUCUGAGAGGAAGGUCCCCCCACAUUGGAACUGAGACACGGUCCAAACUCCUACGGGAGGCAGCAGUGAGGAAUAUUGGUCAAUGGGCGAGAGCCUGAACCAGCCAAGUAGCGUGCAGGAUGACGGCCCUAUGGGUUGUAAACUGCUUUUAUAAGGGAAUAAAGUGAGUCUCGUGAGACUUUUUGCAUGUACCUUAUGAAUAAGGACCGGCUAAUUCCGUGCCAGCAGCCGCGGUAAUACGGAAGGUCCGGGCGUUAUCCGGAUUUAUUGGGUUUAAAGGGAGCGUAGGCCGGAGAUUAAGCGUGUUGUGAAAUGUAGACGCUCAACGUCUGCACUGCAGCGCGAACUGGUUUCCUUGAGUACGCACAAAGUGGGCGGAAUUCGUGGUGUAGCGGUGAAAUGCUUAGAUAUCACGAAGAACUCCGAUUGCGAAGGCAGCUCACUGGAGCGCAACUGACGCUGAAGCUCGAAAGUGCGGGUAUCGAACAGGAUUAGAUACCCUGGUAGUCCGCACGGUAAACGAUGGAUGCCCGCUGUUGGUCUGAAUAGGUCAGCGGCCAAGCGAAAGCAUUAAGCAUCCCACCUGGGGAGUA